rnacentral:rRNA from 1 species
AGAGUUUGAUCCUGGCUCAGGAUGAACGCUAGCGGCAGGCUUAACACAUGCAAGUCGAGGGGCAGCGGGGAGGAAGCUUGCUUUCUCCGCCGGCGACCGGCGCACGGGUGAGUAACACGUAUGCAACCUGCCCCUGUCAGGGGGACAACCCGCCGAAAGGCGGGCUAAACCCGCGUACAUGCCACCGGGGCAUCCCGGAGGCAGGAAAGGCUUCGGCCGGACAGGGAUGGGCAUGCGGCGCAUUAGGCAGUAGGCGGGGUAACGGCCCACCUAACCGACGAUGCGUAGGGGUUCUGAGAGGAAGGUCCCCCACACUGGUACUGAGACACGGACCAGACUCCUACGGGAGGCAGCAGUGAGGAAUAUUGGUCAAUGGUCGGGAGACUGAACCAGCCAAGCCGCGUGAGGGAGGAAGGUACAGAGUAUCGUAAACCUCUUUUGUCAGGGAACAAAGGCGGGGACGUGUCCCCGGGUGAGUGUACCUGAAGAAAAAGCAUCGGCUAACUCCGUGCCAGCAGCCGCGGUAAUACGGAGGAUGCGAGCGUUAUCCGGAUUUAUUGGGUUUAAAGGGUGCGCAGGCGGUCUGUUAAGUCAGCGGUCAAAGCCCGGGGCUCAACCCCGGCCCGCCGUUGAAACUGGCAGUCUCGAGUUGGAGAGAAGUAUGCGGAAUGCGCGGUGUAGCGGUGAAAUGCAUAGAUAUCGCGCAGAACUCCGAUUGCGAAGGCAGCAUGCCGGCUCCACACUGACGCUGAGGCACGAAAGCGUGGGUAUCGAACAGGAUUAGAUACCCUGGUAGUCCACGCAGUAAACGAUGAAUGCUGGCUGUCUGGGGGGAUUGACCCCUGGGUGGCGAAGCGAAAGCGAUAAGCAUUCCACCUGGGGAGUACGCCGGCAACGGUGAAACUCAAAGGAAUUGACGGGGGCCCGCACAAGCGGAGGAACAUGUGGUUUAAUUCGAUGAUACGCGAGGAACCUUACCCGGGCUCAAACGGGGAGUGACUCAGGCAGAGACGCCUGUUUCCCACGGGACACUCCCCGAGGUGCUGCAUGGUUGUCGUCAGCUCGUGCCGUGAGGUGUCGGCUUAAGUGCCAUAACGAGCGCAACCCCCGCGUGCAGUUGCUAACAGAUAACGCUGAGGACUCUGCACGGACUGCCGGCGCAAGCCGCGAGGAAGGCGGGGAUGACGUCAAAUCAGCACGGCCCUUACGUCCGGGGCGACACACGUGUUACAAUGGGUGGUACAGCGGGAAGCCAGGCGGCGACGCCGAGCGGAACCCGAAAUCCACUCUCAGUUCGGAUCGGAGUCUGCAACCCGACUCCGUGAAGCUGGAUUCGCUAGUAAUCGCGCAUCAGCCAUGGCGCGGUGAAUACGUUCCCGGGCCUUGCACUCACCGCCCGUCA